rnacentral:snRNA from 1 species
GUGCUCGCUUCAGCAGCACAUAAUACUAAAAUUGGAGCCUUGAAGAGAUUAGCAUGGCCCCUGCGCAAGGAUGACAAGCAAAUUUGUGAAUCAUUCCAUAUUUAA